rnacentral:rRNA from 1 species
UACAGAGGGGGCAAGCGUUGUUCGGAAUUACUGGGCGUAAAGGGCGCGUAGGCGGCCUGUUAAGUCGAACGUGAAAUCCCCGGGCUCAACCCGGGAACUGCGUCCGAUACUGGCAGGCUUGAAUUCGGGAGAGGGAUGUGGAAUUCCAGGUGUAGCGGUGAAAUGCGCAGAUAUCGGGAGGAACACCAGUAGCGAAGGCGGCUCGCUGGGCCACUCCUGACGCUGAGACGCGAAAGCUAGGGGAGCGAACAGG